CCUACGGGUGACAGCAGUGAGGAAUAUUGGUCAAUGGCCGGAAGGCUGAACCAGCCAAGCCGCGUGAAGGACGAAGGUGCCAAGCAUUGUAAACUUCUUUUGUCAAGGGACAAAAUCAGGCACGAGAGCCUGACCGAGGGUACUUGAAGAAAAAGCAUCGGCUAACUCCGUGCAAGCAGCCGCGGUAAUACGGAGGAUGCGAGCGUUAUCCGGAUUUAUUGGGUUUAAAGGGUGCGUAGGCGGACUGUUAAGUCAGCGGUAAAAGCCCGGGGCUCACCCCCGGCGCGCCGUUGAAACUGGCUGUCUUGUGAUGUCGAGAGGUAUGCGGAAUGCGCAUUGUAGCGGUGAAAUGCUUAGCUAUUGCGCAGAACUCCGAUUGCGACGGCAGCAUACCGGCGGCGAUCUGACGCUGAGGCACGAACGCGUGGGUAUCGAACAGGAUUCGCUACCCCUGUAGUC
rnacentral:rRNA from 1 species